rnacentral:rRNA from 1 species
CACGUAGUUAGCCGGGGCUUCUUAGUCAGGCACCGUCAUUAUCUUCCCUGCUGAUAGAGCUUUACAUACCGAAAUACUUCUUCACUCACGCGGCGUCGCUGCAUCAGGGUUUCCCCCAUUGUGCAAUAUUCCCCACUGCUGCCUCCCGUAGGAGUCUGGGCCGUGUCUCAGUCCCAAUGUGGCCGUUCACUCUCUCAAGCCGGCUACUGAUCGUCGCCUUGGUAGGCCGUUACCCCACCAACAAGCUAAUCAGACGCGGGUCCAUCUCACAGCGAUAAAUCUUUGAAAGGAUCGUCAUGCGGCAAUCCCUUGUUAUGCGGUAUUAGCAGCCGUUUCCGGCUGUUCGUCCCCCUCUGUGAGGUCACGGUUACCCACGCGUUACUCACCCGUCCGCCACUCAGUCAUUACCAUCCUUCCCGUACCGUAAAACGUUCCGUACGGUACGCGUCUUCGUUCGACUUGCUAUGUUGUUAAGCCUACGCCGCCAGUCGUUACACUCCUAGACGCCAGGUACUACGUAAA